GUCUACAACCAGCAUAGCUGCUUCUUCUUUUCCCGUGCCUUUGUAGCAGCACCCACCAUUGGAGACACAACGAGAUGCCCUGUGACAGCUCACAGGGGUGUCCACCCUGGUCGCAGCCCCCAGGUCUCACAGAGGGAAGGUGGGAAGGCACAGUGAGCAAUUACCAACUGCCUGCCAGGGUAUAGCUGUUUAUCAAGACAUAUUUUAACAUUUGAAAACAGUGUUUGAAGACCUUGUUGGAAAUGGAAGAUCUUUAAGGGCCCUUCGAACCCAAGUCAUUCCAUGAUUCUAUCUUGGUGUUUAGAAGCAAAGCAGGAUUUAUGGUGAUGAAUGUGAAA